CGAAAGCCUGACGGAGCAAGACCGCGUGAGGGAGGAAGGCUCUUGGGUUGUAAACCUCUUUUCUCAGGGAAGAAGCUCUGACGGUACCUGAGGAAUCAGCCUCGGCUAACUCCGUGCCAGCAGCCGCGGUAAUACGGAGGAGGCAAGCGUUAUCCGGAAUUAUUGGGCGUAAAGCGUCCGCAGGUGGCGAUUCAAGUCUGCUGUCAAAACCCAGGGCUCAACUCUGGUCAGGCAGUGGAAACUACAGAGCUAGAGUGGCGUAGGGGUAGAGGGAAUUCCCGGUGUAGCGGUGAAAUGCGUAGAGAUCGGGAAGAACAUCGGUGGCGAAAGCGCUCUACUGGACGGCAACUGACACUCAGGGACGAAAGCUAGGGGAGCG
rnacentral:rRNA from 1 species